rnacentral:rRNA from 1 species
CAUGCAGUCGAGCGAACAGACAAGGAGCUUGCUCCUUUGACGUUAGCGGCGGACGGGUGAGUAACACGUGGGUAACCUACCUAUAAGACUGGGAUAACUUCGGGAAACCGGAGCUAAUACCGGAUAAUAUUUCGAACCGCAUGGUUCGAUAGUGAAAGAUGGUUUUGCUAUCACUUAUAGAUGGACCCGCGCCGUAUUAGCUAGUUGGUAAGGUAACGGCUUACCAAGGCGACGAUACGUAGCCGACCUGAGAGGGUGAUCGGCCACACUGGAACUGAGACACGGUCCAGACUCCUACGGGAGGCAGCAGUAGGGAAUCUUCCGCAAUGGGCGAAAGCCUGACGGAGCAACGCCGCGUGAGUGAUGAAGGUCUUCGGAUCGUAAAACUCUGUUAUUAGGGAAGAACAUACGUGUAAGUAACUAUGCACGUCUUGACGGUACCUAAUCAGAAAGCCACGGCUAACUACGUGCCAGCAGCCGCGGUAAUACGUAGGUGGCAAGCGUUAUCCGGAAUUAUUGGGCGUAAAGCGCGCGUAGGCGGUUUUUUAAGUCUGAUGUGAAAGCCCACGGCUCAACCGUGGAGGGUCAUUGGAAACUGGAAAACUUGAGUGCAGAAGAGGAAAGUGGAAUUCCAUGUGUAGCGGUGAAAUGCGCAGAGAUAUGGAGGAACACCAGUGGCGAAGGCGACUUUCUGGUCUGUAACUGACGCUGAUGUGCGAAAGCGUGGGGAUC